GACGAACGCUGGCGGCGUGCCUAACACAUGCAAGUCGAACGGAAAGGCCCUGCUUUUGUGGGGUGCUCGAGUGGCGCACGGGUGAGUAACACGUGAGUAACCUGCCCUUGACUUUGGGAUAACUUCAGGAAACUGGGGCUAAUACCGGAUAGAAGCUCCUGCUGCAUGGUGGGGGUUGGAAAGUUUCGGCGGUUGGGGAUGGACUCGCGGCUUAUCAGCUUGUUGGUGGGGUAGUGGCUUACCAAGGCUUUGACGGGUAGCCGGCCUGAGAGGGUGACCGGCCACAUGGGGACUGAGGUACGGCCCAGACUCCUACGGGAGGCAGCAGGGGGGAAUAUUGCACAAUGGGCGGAAGCCUGAUGCAGCAGCGCCGCGUGCGGGAUAACGGCCUUCGGGUUGUAAACCGCUUUCGCCUGUGACGAAGCGUGAGUGACGGUAAUGGGUAAAGAAGCACCGGCUAACUACGUG
rnacentral:rRNA from 1 species